AUGCACGCUGGCGGCGUGCCUAAUCCAUGCCCGUCGAGCGAACAGACGAGGAGCUUGCUCCUCUGACGUUAGCGGCGGACGGGUGAGUAACACGUGGAUAACCUACCUAUAAGACUGGGAUAACUUCGGGAAACCGGAGCUAAUACCGGAUAAUAUAUUGAACCGCAUGGUUCAAUAGUGAAAGACGGUUUUGCUGUCACUUAUAGAUGGAUCCGCGCCGCAUUAGCUAGUUGGUAAGGUAACGGCUUACCAAGGCAACGAUGCGUAGCCGACCUGAGAGGGUGAUCGGCCACACUGGAACUGAGACACGGUCCAGACUCCUACGGGAGGCAGCAGUAGGGAAUCUUCCGCAAUGGGCGAAAGCCUGACGGAGCAACGCCGCGUGAGUGAUGAAGGUCUUCGGAUCGUAAAACUCUGUUAUUAGGGAAGAACAAAUGUGUAAGUAACUAUGCACGCCUUGACGGUACCUAAUCAGAAAGCCACGGCUAACUACGUG
rnacentral:rRNA from 1 species